rnacentral:rRNA from 1 species
AGCAGCCGCGGUAAUUCCAGCUCCAAUAGCGUAUAUUAAAGUUGUUGCAGUUAAAAAGCUCGUAGUUGGAUUUUUGGGGCGCGUGGCCGGUCUGCCGCGAGGCGUGUACUGGCCGUGCGCACCUUCCUUCCGGGGCCCGCGCGUGCCCUUCAGUGGGCGUGCGCUGGGUGCCGGGACGUUUACUGUGAAAAAAU